UUGAUCUGAAAUCAGGCGGGAUUACCCGCUGA
rnacentral:rRNA from 1 species